AUACGGUCAUAUCACGUUAAAACACAGGUUCCCGUCCGAUCGCCGAAGUUAAGCAAUGUUAAAGCUGGUCAGUACCUAGAUGGGUAACUGUAUGGGAAUACCAGGUACUGUAAG